rnacentral:rRNA from 1 species
GUGUCAGCAGCCGCGGUAAGACGAACCGUCCAAACGUUAUUCGGAAUCACUGGGCUUAAAGGGUGCGUAGGCUGCCUGGUAAGUUGGGUGUGAAAGCCCUCGGCUCAACCGAGGAAUUGCGCCCAAAACCGCCAGGCUCGAGGAAGAUAGAGGUGGGCGGAACUAAGGGUGGAGCGGUGAAAUGCGUUGAUAUCCUUAGGAACACCAGUAGCGAAAGCGGCCCACUGGGUCUUCUCUGACGCUGAGGCACGAAAGCUAGGGGAGCGAAGAGGAUUAGAUACCCUCGUAGUCCUAGCCCUAAACGAUGAGCACUGAUUAAGAGGGACCCUCACAUCCCUCCUGAUGUAGCGAAAGUGUUAAGUGCUCCGCCUGGGGAGUAUGGUCGCAAGGCUGAA